UUGCAGUAAGAGUGUCCACUUGUUCCAGUUCUGUCCAAAGACAGCUAAGCAGAGGUCCGAAGGGGAGAUUCAUAUCAAGUAUUGCUUUUCUGAAAGAAGGGUCUAGAUUGGCUGGCUCCUCACCCUCCGGCUUCCUGUCUGAAGUGAACUCCAUUGCCCUUCUGUGGCUUCUCAGUGCAGGUAUCCUUGCUUGGGCUACGGCUCCUGCUGCCUAGAUGAUACCUUUUGGGGGACUCUUAAAAACGUGCACAGGUAAAGCAACCCACACACCAUUAACUGGCACCUACUCUAAGUCCGGCAGUGGUGACUUGAAACUGAGUUCAACAAAGGAGCCUCUUCUAUAUUUGGAUCACUUGUGCCAGCCUGGAGAUCACCAAAAAGUCCUUCUGAAAAUCACCUGCAAAUACCUGGCCCAGCCCUGGAAGAGGUGCAAAGGGUAAGGGGCACCACAUUUAUUUUCUUAGAUCCCAGGUGUGAUCAGCCCCACCCUAGGUGAUGGUCUCUGUUAACGAUAUCCACCUGGAGAGCAGGAAGGAGAAAACUGAUAAAGGCCAGAAGGUUAAAAACAAUCCAAGAGGUGUGUGUGUGUGUGGGGGGGGACGGGGAUGCUUAGAAGACCUUUGCCCCCUGAAACUUUGAUUUACAAACUGCACAGCUAUCAGGUCACCUGGGGCUGUGGAGGCUAUAAAAAAAAAAAAGUCACCAGCUGAUAUAGCUCUCUGCUUGGCAGCCUGGGAAUUUCUAAUUCUGGGGAAGUAUGACCGUGACACUGUGGUCCCUCUCUCUUUCUUUCUGACUCACAGCCCUUCAAGACUCUCUGGAGAGUGGGAGGGGAUCUGGUGGAGGCACUAUCCCUAUAAGUGGACGGGAUGGGCUCGGGAGAAUUGUACUGUUCUCCAGAGCCCCAAGGUGACUGGUACUAAGCUCAAUCCCUUUAUAGUAGAUGUGACUUGGGAAAGUCACAGUGUUUAUUUAAGUCUCUGUUUUUCAUCUGCACAAUAGGAAUGAGAAGGGAGGGUGGCCCUGCCUGCCUUGGCAGUUAUGGCAAGGAGCAAUCUAAGAGGUGUGACUCAGCCCAGGGAUGCAGAAGGACUAAGGUGGCACCAGGUCUCGUCAGCACAUUAGUUCCACCUCACUUGUCACACAAACAUGAAGUCUGUUCAGGGCGAGGUGUCAGCUGCAGGGUGCUCACCACCCAGAGUGUGGUUCUGUGUGGGGCAACAUCAACAUCCCUGAGAUCUUGUCCGAGAUGCUGACUCUCUGACCCAUCCCAGACCUGCUGAACCAGAAUCUGCACUUUAACAAGAGCCCCAAGAGAUCUGCGCACUCAUUAAAGUUCAAAAAGCUCUGC